rnacentral:pre_miRNA from 15 species
AACAGACUCCACUCCGUCUACCCAGUGUUUAGACUAUCUGUUCAGGACUCCAAUAUUGUACAGUAGUCUGCACAUUGGUUAGGCUGGGCUGGGCUACAC